GAAAAAUGAUGUGUGUGAGUGAUAGUGAACUAUAGUACAGUAAUGGAAAGUUUUAAAAUUGAAGCAAAAUGCAGAUUUAUUUAAUCGUACUUAUUGCAUUACGGGUCUACGAGUUAAUGAGGGAUAAUUAAUAA
rnacentral:rRNA from 2 species